CUACCAUGGCAGUCACGGGUAACGGAGAAUUAGGGUUCGAUUCCGGAGAGGGAGCCUGAGAAACGGCUACCACAUCUACGGAAGGCAGCAGGCGCGCAAAUUGCCCAAUCCCGACACGGGGAGGCAGUGACAAGAAAUAACAACUCUAGGUUUUCUUAGAAGUGUAAUGAGGAUAAUUUACAAACCUUACCAAAUGCAAUUGGAGGGCAAGUCUGGUGCCAGCAGCCGCGGUAAUUCCAGCUCCAAUAGCGUAUAUUAAAGUUGUUGCAGUUAAAAAGCUCGUAGUUGAAAAUCUGAUUGCUCAGGUCUCCAGCCUUUAGGCGGGGAUUCUGACAGUCAUCCGCUUGCAAACAUAUGUUCGAUCUUCACCGGUUGGCUAUGUGAGUAAGCACUUUACCUUGAGAAAAACAGAGUGUUCCAGGCAGGUUUGUCCGGAAUGCAUUAGCAUGGAAUAAUAGGACAUGACUGAAGUCUAUUUAUUGGUUAAAGGCUUUAGUAAUGAUUAAUAGGAACAGUCGGGGGCAUUCGUACUCAGCAGUCAGAGGUGAAAUUCUAAGAUUUGCUGAAGACGAACUAAUGCGAAAGCAUUUGCCAAGGAUGUUUUCAUUAAUCAAGAACGAAAGUUAGGGGAUC
rnacentral:rRNA from 1 species